GAGUUUGAUCCUGGCUCAGGACGAACGCUGGCGGUGCGCCUAAUGCAUGCAAGUCGAACGGGCAAUGGGGCUUCGGCCCCGGCGCUAGUGGCAGACGGCUGAGUAACACGUAAGUGAUCUGCCCCGGAGCGGGGGAUAAUCCGGAGAAAUCCGGCCUAAUACCCCGUACGUUCAUGUGGUCAAGGCCAUAUGAAGAAAGGUUUCGACCGCUCUGGGAGGAGCUUGCGGCCUAUCAGGUAGUUGGCGGGGUAAUGGCCCACCAAGCCGAAGACGGGUAGCCGAUGUGAGAGCAUGAUCGGUCAGAGGGGGACUGAGACACGGCCCCCACUCCUACGGGAGGCAGCAGCAGGGAAUCUUGCGCAAUGGGCGAAAGCCUGACCCAGCGACGCCGCGUGGAGGAUGAAGGUCUAAGGACUGUAAACUCCUUUUUCGAGGAAAGAGAAAGGACGGUACCUCGAGAAUAAGCCCCGGCUAACUACGUGCCAGCAGCCGCGGUAAUACGUAGGAGGCAAGCGUUACCCGGAUUUAUUGGGCGUAAAGAGCGCGUAGGUGGCAAGUCAAGUCUCCUGUGAAAUCUUCCGGCUCAACUGGAAGGGGUCAGGGGAUACUGCUCGGCUUGAGGGCAGAAGAGGAAGACGGAAUUCCCGGUGUAGCGGUGAUAUGCGUAGAUAUCGGGAGGAACACCAGAGGCGAAGGCGGUCUUUUGGGCUGUGCCUGACGCUGAGGCGCGAAAGCGUGGGUAGCAAACCGGAUUAGAUACCCUGGUAGUC
rnacentral:rRNA from 1 species